CCCACCUUGGCCUCCCAAAGUGCUGGGAUUACAGGUGUGAGUCACCGUGCCUGGCCCAGCAGAUACCUUUUUUCAUCUGCAGAAAUGUUGAUGUUCCAAGCAGAAAGGAAUUGUGACUAUACCUCUCGUGCAAGCCUGAAUCUAGAGGGUGCUCCACCUGUGGGGAUUCAGUCACUCUGCAGUGAUCCAGAAAGGCUAUCUAUAGGUGCACCCACACCAAGCUCCUGUGAGAGAAGCCCCAGUUAUUUCACAGUCGUGGAUGAGGGGGAAAAGUAGUUUCCUUUUCCAAGACUCUUCAUGAGCACCAGGUCUGCCUGUCUGCUGGAGUAGAGCUGCAAACUAUCCCAGCUGAGCCCAGCACUGCAACUGUGUCACUGCCGAAAGAAACUUCCCACCAGUGUACAUCCGGGAUCUGGGAUUCAAGGCUUGCCAUCUGGAUUCUUUUGUCUCACUGUGUGCUCCCUUAAUGUGGGGGACUCCCUCUUCGCUGGGGGGUAUGAGUCCCUGAGAGCCAUACUACUAUGACUACUGUUGUUCCUCACCCAGUGAGCCUGCCCCACAUUUCCGGCUGGUGCUGGGGAAUGUCUGCAGAGAGUGUGAUGUGACCUAUCUUCAGCCCUCUCAGCAGUGGGUACCAGCACACAUUCUGAUAGGGGUGGCAAGGGUUGGUUAUAGUCUUAGUUUAUUGGCUUUCUCAAAUUCUGGUUGUAAUAGUAAUGAACUGGUCCUGUGGACAGACUUGGGACCUUCUGGUUAGCCUGGGUGGUGCAGGCUGUAGUGAUAGCUCAGCUCUUGCACAGGUUUUCUCCUUCCUGGGAUUACAGGCGUGAACCAUGGUGCCUGGCUAUAGAUGUAUUUUUAAAAAGGAUGCUGUUUCUGUAUGUGAUGCUUUAGUUCCAGUAUUAUGCUUUCUAUACCUUCCUAUAAAAUCACUCCUCAAGGGAGAACAGAGGGAAGCCAUACCCCAUUCCAAACACCUACCCCUCUUUCCUAAUAAGACUAAUCACUAUGUAACUUCAUUCUGAUAAUGACAAGCCAAAGUUUCAUUAAUGUAUAUUUUUUACUUUAUUCUGUAAUAUGUUUGUAUUUGUUUUCACAUGAAAGUAAUAACAAAAAAGUGCUGUGCUUGUCCAGUUCUAUUCCACUAUAGGAUACACAUAUCUUAAGAAGACUUUAACUCUGGACGCUUUUGGUCUCAUUCAUCUGUUUAUGGAAAAUUAGCUAAGUGCCUUCUAUAUACUAAGUCCAAAUCUGUUUGUUGAACAGUGAACAAAAUAGGCUGACAUUUAUGUUUUCAUAGAAUUUACAUUCUAAUGGAGGGGGUUGCUGGUGGCAGAUUAGUGAGUAAAAUAUGCUGUGGGUAAAAUAGUGAUAAAUGCUAGGGCGUAAGAGUGUGUGUGUGCACGUGUAUAUGCAGAGGCUGAAGACAAUGUUUGUUCCUGUCCCAUCCCAACCACAAACCUGGUGGUAAUUAGGGCACAAACUUUACAUCAUUUAUCAUAAAAGUCACUAACUUUGAAUCACAGUGAGCUGGGUCCUACACUGCAUAGCAUCUGAAGAUGAAUGUGAGUCUUAGAUUACAGACAAUUUGCCAUACUUAAAAAGUUAUGGGCACCUGGAAAAAACAGUAACAGUAUACACACAAUUUUAUUUCUCACUUGUACAUCUCAUGAGUUUUCGUUCUGAAAAUGCAGAGAGAGAUUAGUACUAUCUUGUUCAUUAUCUGGAGAGCCCUUGCCAAAAUAUUGCCCACAAUUUCACUGUUUCAGCAUUUCUAGGGUUUUCAGAUGGCUUAUAUAAAUAAGCAGCUGCUGGUAGCCAUUGUCAGCUCAUUGUCUUGUUUUAGGCUUAGAGCCUCUGCCAAAAACAAACCCAAGGGACUGGUGGUAGGUUGGUUGAAGGCUUCAGGCCCUAUAUAUGCAGGAA